rnacentral:lncRNA from 1 species
UUUUUUCUGUGCUACGAAAUUAACUGUAAAAUUAGAAAAUGCGACUCUAAUUUCUAAUUAAUAAAAUUAGAAAUUUAUUAAUUUAUUAGAAGUAUUAGCGCAUACCAACAAUAUCAUACUAAAUCAAAGAAAGAAAAAGCAUAAAAAUACUUUUAAAAAAGAAAAAAAAUGAACUAAAAAACUACUAAAGAACCCCGAUAAAGAAACCUGACUAAAUAACGGAUCAAUACUGCCC